rnacentral:rRNA from 1 species
GACGAACGCUGGCGGCGUGCUUAACACAUGCAAGUCGUACGGAAAGGCCCUGCUUUUGUGGGGUGCUCGAGUAGCGAACGGGUGAGUCACACGUGAGUAACCUGCCCUUGACUUUGGGCUAACUUCAGGUAACUGUGGCUCAUACCGUAUAGUCGCUCCUGCUGCUUGGUGGGGGUUGGCUAGUUUCGGCGGUUGGGGAUGCACUCGCGGCUUAUCAGCUUGUUGGUGGGGUAGGGGCUUACCAAGGCUUUGACGGGUAGCCGGCCUGAGAGGGUGACCGGCAACAUGGGGACUGAGAUACGGCCCGGACUCCUACGGGAGGCAGAAGGGGGGAAUAUGGAAAAAGGGGCGGAAGCCGGAUGCAGCAAGGCCGCGGGCGGGAUGACGGCCUUCGGGUGUUAAACCGCUUUCGCCGGUGACGAAGCGUGAGUGACGGUAAUGGGUAAAGAAGCACCGGCUAACUACGUG